rnacentral:rRNA from 1 species
GACAGAGGGUGCAAACGUUGUUCGGAAUUACUGGGCGUAAAGCGCGUGUAGGCGGCCCUGCAAGUCGGAUGUGAAAUCCCACGGCUCAACCGUGGAAGUGCAUCGAAACUGCAGGGCUAGAGUCCUGGAGAGGAAGGUGGAAUGCUUGGUGUAGAGGUGAAAUUCGUAGAUAUCAAGCGGAACACCGGUGGCGAAGGCGACCUUCGUGGACAGUGACUGACGCUGAGACGCGAAAAGCGUGGGGAGCAAACAGG